rnacentral:lncRNA from 12 species
CAGGUGAUAAAGGGUCCUGCCGCGAGGCUCUCUGGGAAGCGUAGUUCUAGACCGGACUAAAACUCCUUGGGCUCGCCCCGGAAGACUACAGUUCCCGGUGAGCACUGCGCCCCCAAGGCUGCCGGAACCCUGGCGUGGGGAGGCGUGGGGAGGCGGGGGGAGGGGGAAGGAGAAGUAGAGGAGAGGGCGGGAGGCUGCCGGGGUCGGGAGGUGCGACUCCUCCUAGCGGGGAGUUGGAGAGGGUUGUGGCGGGGCGCGCGAGCGCGAGCAGGUGGUGCCGGAGAUGAAAGCUCAGGAACCGGGCCGGGCCGCCCAACUAAGUGAACUUGGCCCGUCAGCGGAGACCCGGACCCUCCGGCCGCGUUGCCGGCCGCGUUCACGCCACGAGCCCUCGCGCGCCUGCCGCAGGUCGGGCCGGAGCCUGGGCACCGCGGAGGAGCGAGCGAGCGAGGCGCGCGGCCGCCCGCGCCGCCGCGGAGCCGACCCCGGGCGAGUCCGCGGCACCGCGUCCCUUCGCGUCGUACGCGCUGCGGCGGGGCGGGGGCGCCUGGACCCCGGCCGGCCUCGAGCGUCCCUUCGACUUCACUUUAGCAUGAGCCUGUGCUGCCUCUGUAGACAGCUGGAAGCAGCUGUGUCAAGACCUGCAGUGUUAUCAUGGAUGCCUAAAUGGAAAUUCUGGCCCAACUCUGGUUGGCUUGAACUUGAUGCAAGGUCAGUUCAGAGGACAAAAGACAAUGUGCCAUGAACGCCCUGUCCCCUGCCCCGCUGACACUGUGGCUCGUCUCUGUCUGGGUCUUGCCAGCCAAGUGUCACGGGAACACGUUGGGACAAUGACCAACACCGUAUGCUGGUAAGUGGAUCUAAAUAUAUUUUUGUUCAACAAGCAGUGAUCUGACCUGGCCAGGAAGGUA